GACGAACGCUGGCGGCGUGCUUAACACAUGCAAGUCGAACGGAAAGGCCCUGCUUUUGUGGGGUGCUCGAGUGGCGAACGGGUGAGUAACACGUGAGUAACCUGCCCUUGACUUUGGGAUAACUUCAGGAAACUGGGGCUAAUACCGGAUAGGAGCUCCUGCUGCAUGGUGGGGGUUGGAAAGUUUCGGCGGUUGGGGAUGGACUCGCGGCUUAUCAGCUUGUUGGUGGGGUAGUGGCUUACCAAGGCUUUGACGGGUAGCCGGCCUGGGAGGGUGACCGGCCACAUUGGGACUGAGGUACGGCCCAGACGCCUACGGGAGGCAGCAGUGGGGAAUAUUGCACAAUGGGCGGAAGCCUGAUGCAGCAACGCCGCGUGCGGGAUGACGGCCUUCGGGUUGGAAACCGCUUUCGCCUGUGACGAAGCGUGAGUGACGGUAAUGGGUAAAGAAGCACCGGCUAACUACGUG
rnacentral:rRNA from 1 species